GUUGAAAAAUUAGCGGAUGACCUGUGGCUGGGGGUGAAAGGCCAAUCAAACCGGGAGAUAGCUGGUUCUCCCCGAAAGCUAUUUAGGUAGCGCCUCGUGAAUUCAUCUCCGGGGGUAGAGCACUGUUUCGGCUAGGGGGCCAUCCCGGCUUACCAACCCGAUGCAAACUGCGAAUACCGGAGAAUGUUAUCACGGGAGACACACGGCGGGUGCUAACGUCCGUCGUGAAGAGGGAAACAACCCAGACCGCCAGCUAAGGUCCCAAAGUCAUGGUUAAGUGGGAAACGAUGUGGGAAGGCCCAGACAGCCAGGAUGUUGGCUUAGAAGCAGCCAUCAUUUAAAGAAAGCGUAAUAGCUCACUGGUCGAGUCGGCCUGCGCGGAAGAUGUAACGGGGCUAAACCAUGCACCGAAGCUGCGGCAGCGACACUCAGGUGUUGUUGGGUAGGGGAGCGUUCUGUAAGCCUGCGAAGGUGGCCUGUGAGGGUUGCUGGAGGUAUCAGAAGUGCGAAUGCUGACAUAAGUAACGAUAAAGCGGGUGAAAAGCCCGCUCGCCGGAAGACCAAGGGUUCCUGUCCAACGUUAAUCGGGGCAGGGUGAGUCGACCCCUAAGGCGAGGCCGAAAGGCGUAGUCGAUGGGAAACGGGUUAAUAUUCCCGUACUUGGUGUUACUGCGAAGGGGGGACGGAGAAGGCUAUGUUGGCCGGGCGACGGUUGUCCCGGUUUAAGCGUGUAGGUGUGUGUUCCAGGUAAAUCCGGUUCACUUUAACACUGAGGCGUGACGACGAGGCACUACGGUGCUGAAGCAACAAAUGCCCUGCUUCCAGGAAAAGCCUCUAAGCAUCAGGUAACAUCAAAUCGUACCCCAAACCGACACAGGUGGUCAGGUAGAGAAUACCAAGGCGCUUGAGAGAACUCGGGUGAAGGAACUAGGCAAAAUGGUGCCGUAACUUCGGGAGAAGGCACGCUGACACGUAGGUGAAGUGAUUUACUCAUGGAGCUGAAGUCAGUCGAAGAUACCAGCUGGCUGCAACUGUUUAUUAAAAACACAGCACUGUGCAAACACGAAAGUGGACGUAUACGGUGUGACGCCUGCCCGGUGCCGGAAGGUUAAUUGAUGGGGUCAGCGCAAGCGAAGCUCCUGAUCGAAGCCCCGGUAAACGGCGGCCGUAACUAUAACGGUCCUAAGGUAGCGAAAUUCCUUGUCGGGUAAGUUCCGACCUGCACGAAUGGCGUAAUGAUGGCCAGGCUGUCUCCACCCGAGACUCAGUGAAAUUGAACUCGCUGUGAAGAUGCAGUGUACCCGCGGCAAGACGGAAAGACCCCGUGAACCUUUACUAUAGCUUGACACUGAACAUUGAGCCUUGAUGUGUAGGAUAGGUGGGAGGCUUUGAAGUGUGGACGCCAGUCUGCAUGGAGCCGACCUUGAAAUACCACCCUUUAAUGUUUGAUGUUCUAACGUGGACCCGUGAUCCGGGUUGCGGACAGUGUCUGGUGGGUAGUUUGACUGGGGCGGUCUCCUCCUAAAGAGUAACGGAGGAGCACGAAGGUUGGCUAAUCCUGGUCGGACAUCAGGAGGUUAGUGCAAUGGCAUAAGCCAGCUUGACUGCGAGCGUGACGGCGCGAGCAGGUGCGAAAGCAGGUCAUAGUGAUCCGGUGGUUCUGAAUGGAAGGGCCAUCGCUCAACGGAUAAAAGGUACUCCGGGGAUAACAGGCUGAUACCGCCCAAGAGUUCAUAUCGACGGCGGUGUUUGGCACCUCGAUGUCGGCUCAUCACAUCCUGGGGCUGAAGUAGGUCCCAAGGGUAUGGCUGUUCGCCAUUUAAAGUGGUACGCGAGCUGGGUUUAGAACGUCGUGAGACAGUUCGGUCCCUAUCUGCCGUGGGCGCUGGAGAACUGAGGGGGGCUGCUCCUAGUACGAGAGGACCGGAGUGGACGCAUCACUGGUGUUCGGGUUGUCAUGCCAAUGGCACUGCCCGGUAGCUAAAUGCGGAAGAGAUAAGUGCUGAAAGCAUCUAAGCACGAAACUUGCCCCGA
rnacentral:rRNA from 1 species